rnacentral:tRNA from 1 species
GUGGCUGUAGCUCAGUUAGGUAGAGCACCGCGUUGUGGUCGCGGCGGUCGCGGGUUCAAAUCCCGUCAGCCACCCCA